AAUCGCCUACGGGGCGCAGCAGUGAGGAAUAUUGGUCAAUGGUCGGGAGACUGAACCAGCCAAGCCGCGUGAGGGAGGAAGGUACAGAGUAUCGUAAACCUCUUUUGUCAGGGAACAAAGACUGGGACGCGUCCCCGGAUGAGUGUACCUGAAGAAAAAGCAUCGGCUAACUCCGUGCCAGCAGCCGCGGUAAUACGGAGGAUGCGAGCGUUAUCCGGAUUUAUUGGGUUUAAAGGGUGCGCAGGCGGUCUGUUAAGUCAGCGGUCAAAGCCCGGGGCUCAACCCCGGCCCGCCGUUGAAACUGG
rnacentral:rRNA from 1 species